AAGUCGUAACAAGGUUUCCGUAGGUGAACCUGCGGAAGGAUCAUUAUCACGUAUCCACGUAUAAACCAUCCGUGCACUGUCUCACCCUUUGAAAAUUUAAAGUUCGUUGUAAUAGAUAGCACAUGGACUCCUUUCUUGUGAUUUAGAGAGUUCGCUAUCUGUUGCCUCGAGUUAUCUCGAUAACUCGUACUUGAAUUUUCUUAGGUGUAUUUCUAAAUCACACUUGUAUUAACAAUUUGAACAACUUCAUUAAACUAUUGAACUGAUCUGUUUCUUACUCUGUCAAAGGAGAAGAAAUAAAUUACGAAACAAAGAACAACUCUUAGCAACGGAUAUCUUGGUUCUCGUAACGAUGAAAAACGCAGC
rnacentral:misc_RNA from 1 species